ensembl:snRNA U6 U6 spliceosomal RNA
GUGCUCGCUUCGGCAGCACAUAUACUAAAACUGGAACAAUACAGAGAAGAUUAGCACGGCCCCUGCACAAGGAUGACACGCAAAUUCGUGAAGCGUUCCAUAUUUUU